rnacentral:rRNA from 1 species
ACUGAACGCUGGCGGCAGGCUUAACACAUGCAAGUCGAGCGGUAACAGAGAGAAGCUUGCUUCUCUGCUGACGAGCGGCGGACGGGUGAGUAAUGCCUAGGAAUCUGCCUAGUAGUGGGGGAUAACUUGCCGAAGGGUAAGCUAAUACCGCAUACGUCCUACGGGAGAAAGGAGGGGACCUUCGGGCCUUUCGCUAUUAGAUGAGCCUAGGUCGGAUUAGUUAGUUGGUGAGGUAAUGGCUCACCAAGACCGCGAUCCGUAACUGGUCUGAGAGGAUGAGCAGUCACACUGGAACUGAGACACGGUCCAGACUCCUACGGGAGGCAACAGUGGGGAAUAUUGGACAAUGGGGGGAACCCUGAUCCAGCCAUGCCGCGUGUGUGAAGAAGGUCUUAGGAUUGUAAAGCACUUUAAGUUGGGAGGAAGAGCAGUUAACUAAUAUUUGACUGUUUUGACGUUACCGACAGAAUAAGCACCGGCUAACUUCGUGCCAGCCGCCGCAGUAA